AGUUUGAUCCUGGCUCAGGAUGAACGCUGGCGGCGUGCCUAAUACAUGCAAGUCGAACGAAUCUCUUUUAGAGAUGAGUGGCGAACGGGUGAGUAAUACAUAGGUAACCUGCCCCUGUGCGGGGGAUAACAGGAGGAAACUCCUGCUAAUACCGCAUAGCCAUGAGCACCGCAUGGAGCUCAUGCCAAAUAUCCUUUCGGGGAUAGCGCAGGGAUGGACCUAUGGCGCAUUAGCUGGUUGGCGGGGCAACGGCCCACCAAGGCAACGAUGCGUAGCCGGCCUGAGAGGGCGGACGGCCACAUUGGGACUGAGACACGGCCCAGACUCCUACGGGAGGCAGCAGUAGGGAAUUUUCGGCAAUGGGGGAAACCCUGACCGAGCAACGCCGCGUGAGCGAAGAAGGCCUUCGGGUCGUAAAGCUCUGUUGUAAAGGAAGAACGGCGCAUACAGGAAAUGGUAUGCGAGUGACGGUACUUUACCAGAAAGCCACGGCUAACUACGUGCCAGCAGCCGCGGUAAUACGUAGGUGGCGAGCGUUAUCCGGAAUCAUUGGGCGUAAAGAGGGAGCAGGCGGCCGCAAGGGUCUGUGGUGAAAGACCGAAGCUAAACUUCGGUAAGCCAUGGAAACCGGGCGGCUAGAGUGCGGAAGAGGAUCGUGGAAUUCCAUGUGUAGCGGUGAAAUGCGUAGAUAUAUGGAGGAACACCAGUGGCGAAGGCGACGGUCUGGGCCGCAACUGACGCUCAUUCCCGAAAGCGUGGGGAGCAAAUAGGAUUAGAUACCCUAGUAGUCCACGCCGUAAACGAUGGUCACUAAGUGUCGGGGGUCAAACCCCGGUGCUGCAGUCAACGCAAUAAGUGACCCGCCUGAGUAGUACGUUCGCAAGAAUGAAACUCAAAGGAAUUGACGG
rnacentral:rRNA from 1 species